GGCCUUCGCUGACCGGAACAAUAAAAAACGUGCACAAAAAUCUCCCGCCUCGACCUUUCGCCGAAGAAUAUUAUCCGUAUUUAACGGUAUACUGGAACAGAACACGGUCGGUGUAGUAAUCAGCCACGAUGAAUAUCUCGCAAUUGGAAGAAAACGCCGCUAAAAUUUUUAAAAUGGACCCAACGUUCAAGAGAGUGAUCUUGUUUUUUUCAUGCAUCGUUUCUGUCAUCGCUAAAUUGGCCAAUUUUGGUCUUUAUUUUAUUUUAUUUCUCGGUUUGUUUAGUAUUAUUUUUUUUCUUCAUCUAAUGUUGAGGAUUAUUAUUCCACAAGCAUAAUCUCCGUCGGACUUUAUUUCACAUACAUGUAUGUUACACAUACCGUAAGUAAUAAACUAUACUGCUGAGUGUGAAAUAAAAAUCAUAUUAUUAUCUGCUAUAAAUUGUGGGAGCUUAUGUUAUGUAUUCUUUUUCUUCGUCUGUUUAAAACAUAUUAAGCCGGAUACACUACAUACUGACUAUAUUUCGUAAUGACGAAUACAUGUGUGAGUGACAUGACUACUAUACUUGAGAAUGUAUAACACGAACUCCCGUAACGCUCGUCUGUAAUUUCUUCUCGUUACGAGACGAGGAACGCGUUUGUAGCUAUGUCGGUACCAUGUACUUAUUAUUAUUAUUAUUAU